rnacentral:tRNA from 1 species
GUGCCCAUAGCUCAGCCGGUAGAGCAACUGACUUUUAAUCAGUAGGUCACAGGUUCGAUCCCUGUUGGGCACACCA